GACGCGGAGCAGCCAAAGAAGUGGGUGCCAGGCAGGGCAGAUCAGGGCGCAAGGCAGCUGGAGUAGCAGGGGCUGGAUCGGAGCGUGAGACAGCUGGAGCAGUGGGAGGCCAGAUCAGAGCACGAGGCAACGGUAGCAGAGCCCAGAUGAUACCUGACCGACUGAACAUUUCCAACAUUUUCUGUUUUAUCUUGGGGGCAUGCUAAACAACUGAUUAUUGCCUGCCAGCAGUCACUGAAGAGGCCACACAGCGUUUAGAGGCUUGUGCUUCAAAUAAUGCCUUUUCUUAACAGCGACCAGCUGUUUGUGAGUAUACAAAAGCAUUGAUAUCAAUUUCAAACUCCACUUAUAAAGGGAUAUUUACCAUUUAAAGUGAUAACAUUUCACACUGGACCUGUAAAAAGGGCCUCUGAAACAUCAGAAGACUUUCUUUGUCAAGACUUUACCAAUUCUCGAGCAACAUUUAUUCCAGAUAUUCUCUAAGCACUUCUAAUAAAAAUAACAAAUGUUGAGUCACGGCCAUACUGGUGAGACAAUAUUGUGACUUUAACUGCACUUUAAAGGACUGAAAUUCAAGAAUGCUUCCAAAAGCCAUAAGACACUUUUGUGGAUUACAAAAGAUUAUCUAGUACCCAGAGAGAAACAUCUUCAGAGACUUCAAGACCAACCUCCCUCAGAGAGAGAGAGAGAGAGUCCUGCAAAGAGCCAUCCGUUGCUGCAGUCAAUUAAGCAGCCUAAGUAUAUAGCUCUAGUACCUUGCAAGAGGACUCCCUCCCCUCAAGUUCACCUGAGUUCUCAACCUCUGGCAGAUCUACUAUAAGAACUUUCGCAGCCACGGAGAAAUCUCUACUUUUCAAGAUCUUCACUUCCAGCCAAAACAUCAGCUCAACUAAGAAACAUCAGGACCCACAAUGAAACAGAGAGCAAAUUAAAUUAAAUUUUAUAAUGACUGUUUUACCUUCAACUGUAUCUAUUUUUUGUGUGUGCGAUAGUGUGGCUAAGUUAUGUGAAUGAGACAUUAAACUUUCAUUUAACCUUCAGGGUAAGUGUGUGUGAGAAAUAAAGUAACUUUCUUCAUUUCAA